rnacentral:lncRNA from 1 species
CUGUUAGUCUGAUGGGCUUCCCUUUGUGGGUAACCAGACUUUUCUCUCUGGCUGCCCUUAACACUUUUUCCUUCAUUUCAACUUUGUUGAAUCUGACAAUUAUGUGUCUUGGAGUUGUUCUUCUCGAGGAGUGUCUUUGUGGCGUACUCUGUGUUUCCUGAAUUUCAAUGUUGGCCUGCCUUGCUAGGUUGGGGAAGUUCUCCUGGAUAAUACACUGCAGAGUGUUUUCCAACUUGGUUCCAUUCUCCCCAUCACUUUCAGGUACACCAAUCAGACGUAGAUUUGAUCUUUUCACAUAGUCUCAUAUUUCUUGGAGGCUUUGUUUGUUUCUUUUUACUCUUUUUUCUCUAAACUUCUCUUCUCGUUUCAUUUCAUUCAUUUGAUCUUCAGUCACUGAUACCCUUUCUUCCACUGGAUCAAAUCGGCUACUGAAGCUUGUGCACGCAUCACGUAGUUCUCGUGCCAUGGUUUUCUGCUCCAUCAGGUCAUUUAAGAUCUUCUCUACACUGUUUAUUGUAGUUAGCUAUUCGUCUAACUUUUUUCAAGGUUUUUAGCUUCUUUGUGAUGGUUUCGAACAUCCCCCUUUAUCUCAGAGAAGUUUGUUAUUACUGAUCAUCUGAAGCCUUCUUCUCUCAACUCGUCAAAGUCAUUCUCUGUCCAGCUUUGUUCCGUUGCUGGCGAAGAGCUGCGUUCCUUUGGAGGAGGAGAGGCACUCUCAUUUUUAGGCUUUCCAGUUUUUCUGCUCUGUUUUUUUCCCAUCUUUGUGGUUUUAUCUACCUUUGGUCUUUGAUGAUGGUUGCAUACAGAUGGGUUUUUGGUGUGGAUGUCCUUUCUGUUUGUUAGUUUUCCUUCUAACAGACAGGACCCUCAGCCGCAGGUCUGUUGGAGUUUGCUGGAGGUCCACUCCAGACCGUUUGUCUGGGUAUCACCAGUGGAGGCUGCAGAACAGCAAAUAUUGCAGAACAGCAAAUGUUGCUGCCUGAUCCUUCCUCUGGAAGCUUCACCUAAGAGGGGCACCCGGCUGUAUCCACUUACAUUCUUGAGAGAAUGAAGGUAAAAACGGGAAUCUCUGCAUAUAGCUACAAAGUCACCCAGGGAAGGACAAGCUCAUGGAGGGCUCUUUCCUGCCCAUUCGCCUCAUUUAAGUGCAGCCAUCCUUCAGGCCCUUGGUUAAGCUUCCAAGGACCCUAUGGGUCAAGGUGAAGCCAUCAGUGUCUACAGCUUCAGCUAUUGCCCGUGUGCAGAUGGUGCUUAAUCUCUCUUGUGCCUUCCAGACCUGCAUUCCAGCCACCUACCAAACCCCUUUCUGUGGAUGCCAAGAAAAGUCUUCAGACCGUGGACAAUGUGCUCUUUGCCCCUAUUAUGGAGAAAGGUGUUCCCUAGGAUGAUGACACAAGGAUUUAAUGAGUAGAAGACAACAACUUAAAACCUCUCAUUUGAGCAUGAAUUGUCUAGGUUAAAGGUAGGCAUUGAGAUCCCAUUAGCUACUGGCACACUUGGGAAAAGAAAUGUACACAUGCACAGACACACUUUAAAGCAAGACUUCAUAAAAAUACAGCGAUGCCUGUUUCUACUCAGACCCAAAAAUGGAAUUAAAGCCAAAACUUACAACCCCUCUACUAAUUAGAGAAGUAAAAAUGUCUUCACCCCAAGUGUCCCAGCACAACGUGAAACCGAAACAAGCUGCCUUUCUUUGGAUUCCACUUAUUUAUUUAUGUUUAAAAGAAUAUUUGAAGAAAAGGACGCCUAGUAAAAGAACAGUUGGAGAAAACAUGGGACACCAUACAUUGGAAGAGAAAUGUAGAUGAAGUACACAGCUACAACAGGGAUAUUUUUUUUCUUGUUGAAACACAUGAUAAUGGGCUAAUAAAAAUCUGGUUACCUUUACAUUUCUUCUCCUCCGUUUGGAAGGUCUGGGCACUUGAGACACUCUGGUCGUUCACAUCAUCAUGGUCCAGAUGGAAUAUUG